UACAGAGGUCUCGAGCGUUAGGCGGAAUCACUGGGCUUAAAGCGUGUGUAGGCGGAUCGUUAAGUGCCUUGUGAAAUCCCCGGGCUCAACCCGGGAACUGCGUCCGAUACUGGAAGGCUUGAAUCCGGGAGAGGGAUGUGGAAUUCCAGGUGUAGCGGUGAAAUGCGUAGAUAUCUGGAGGAACACCGGUGGCGAAGGCGACAUCCUGGACCGGUAUUGACGCUGAGGCGCGAAAGCCAGGGGAGCAAACGGG
rnacentral:rRNA from 1 species